AUUGAACGCUGGCGGCAGGCCUAACACAUGCAAGUCGAGCGGAUGAAGGGAGCUUGCUCCUGGAUUCAGCGGCGGACGGGUGAGUAAUGCCUAGGAAUCUGCCUGGUAGUGGGGGAUAACGUCCGGAAACGGGCGCUAAUACCGUAUACGUCCUGAGGGAGAAAGUGGGGGAUCUUCGGACCUCACGCUAUCAGAUGAGCCUAGGUCGGAUUAGCUAGUUGGUGGGGUAAAGGCCUACCAAGGCGACGAUCCGUAACUGGUCUGAGAGGAUGAUCAGUCACACUGGAACUGAGACACGGUCCAGACCCCUACGGGAGGCAGCAGUGGGGAAUAUUGGACAAUGGGCGAAAGCCUGAUCCAGCCAUGCCGCGUGUGUGAAGAAGGUCUUCGGAUUGUAAAGCACUUUAAGUUGGGAGGAAGGGCAGUAAGUUAAUACCUUGCUGUUUUGACGUUACCAACAGAAUAAGCACCGGCUAACUUCGUG
rnacentral:rRNA from 1 species